rnacentral:lncRNA from 1 species
UUAAACUUUAUUCCUAAAUCACGACUUUGAUGCAUUAUGUUAUUCAUUUAUGAUUCAUAACUAUUAUGUACUAUAUCAUAAUCGAACCCUUAAAUUGUCAUUAAACUUUUGAUUCAACUAAUCCUUAGUUGAUGUUCGUUGAACUCUAAAUUACCUUGAAUCUUAUCCAAACCAAACAUCCUUUGGUGCAAACUCGUAUGUUUAAAUUGAGAUGAACAACCCUACUAUAGGGGAUUAUUUACGUGAAAGCGUUAUGAUGUUUGUGCACAAUACAUGGUACGAAGGGCUGAUCCCCCUAAGUACGAGAAGGUAGGUCCAUAUAGUCUAAUGAAUGUUAAAGGUUCAAGUAGAAAUACUUAUAACCUAGGACACAGUUCAUGGUCUUGUGACCCUUAAAUAAAUUAUAAAUUCUAAUUUUAGUUCUUGAUUAUCAAUGACAG